UACGAAGGGGGCUAGCGUUGCUCGGAAUCACUGGGCGUAAAGCGCACGUAGGCGGAUUGCUAAGUCAGGGGUGAAAUCCUGGAGCUCAACUCCAGAACUGCCCUUGAUACUGGUGAGCUUGAGUCCGGAAGAGGUGAGUGGAACUGCGAGUGUAGAGGUGAAAUUCGUAGAUAUUCGCAAGAACACCAGUGGCGAAGGCGGCUCACUGGUCCGGUACUGACGCUGAGGUGCGAAAGCGUGGGGAGCAAACAGG
rnacentral:rRNA from 1 species